CAGGUGUAUCUCAAUGAUCAUCCCUAAAGCCAACACCUCAUUUGGCCGCCUUUCGUUCCAGUUCUCUGCUACCUGUGACUGGAACGAAUUGCAAAAAUCGCUGAAGUUGGAGACUUUUAUCUCCCUCACCAACUUCAAACAUCUGCUAUCUGAGCAGCUAACCCAGUGGUCACCAAACUACGGCCCGCGGGCCGGAUACGGCCCGUCAGCACAUUUGGCCCGGCCCUCUGAACAAUACCAGAGACGCUAUCGAAUUCUUUUCCUAUUUGGCCUCCAGAAAAAAAAUCCUAGGCCCGGCCCUGUCAAAGAGAGAACGGAAUAAUGGCGAAAAGGUUAGGUAAGAGAAAAAUUGAUUCAGAAUGCAGGGUAUUUAACCUGCAGUGGACAAACAAUUAUUUUUUUGUUAAUUAACGCAUUUCUUCAUUUAAAAGACAAAACGGUCCCAGAGCUGAUCGACCCAGAAUGGAAAUGGCACCUCGCAUUUUUAACAGACGUGACAGAAAUACUUAACAGCCUUAACUUGCAGCUACAAGGCGAGGGGAAACUCAUUUGCGACAUGUAUUCACACAUAAAAGCAUUUGAGGUGAAAUUAGCGCUGCUUUUGGAACAAGUGAAAAAGCGCAACUUCGUCCAUCUUCCUGCUACCCAAAACCUGUCGACAGAGAACCCAGCGGUCCCGUUCCGAGCUGAAAAGUGCGUGGAAGCACUGGAAAUGCUGAAGGCGGAGUUCGGUGUGCGAUUCAGUGAACUACAUGUUCAUGCAAAAGAAAUCCGUCUUUUUCAGAACCCCUUUGUUGCCGACAUUGAUGAAGCCCAGCCUUCAUAUCAGUUUGAGUUGGCUGAGUUACAGAACUGUGAUGUUCUGAAAGACGCAUUCAAGCCCAACAGUCUCAUUGACUUCUAUGCCGCCCUCCCAAACGACACAUAUCCAAACAUCAAAAACACGCAAUGAAAAUGUCCACAGUUUUUGGCAGCACGUAUAUCUGCGAGAAAACCUUUUCUCGCAUGAAACUGCUGAAAACCCCGAUGAGAUCAAGAUUGACAGAUGAACAUUUGCAUCAGUGCUUGAGACUGGCUGUAACUAGAAUGGAACCUGAUAUUCAACUUCUCACCAGCCAGAUGCAGGCCCACAGUUCACACUGAUGAACAUACAUAGAUAGGGAAGUUGAUGAGAGAGAGCUGCAAACAGCGGUGUCUACAAGCCUACUGGAACCUACAAAAGGAUUAUAAGGAAGGAACACAAGAACUUUAAGAGACUGCUCAUAUGUGUCAGAGAGAUUCUGCUCUGACAACUGAGCUGAACUUUUAUCUGUUAAGAUUGUGCAUGGCACGACAGAAAGUUAAUGUUCCAUGGCUUUUUUUUCUAUGAAGAACCCAGAGAGAGUUAUUUAGUUAUUAUUUAUUUCCUGUUUUUUCUGUGAAGAACUCAGAGAGGGUUAUUUAGUUAUUAUUUAUUUCAUUAAUAGUGUUAUUAUUUGUUUCCUGACUUUUUUUCUGUAAAGAACCUGGAAAGGGUUAUUUGGUUAUGUGUGGCUUUCUGGAAAACAAUACAUUUUUUAAGCUCCCC